AUAGAUCAAAUGGGGAGGUGCGUUUCAGGAUGGGGCCGGUUCAACAGUUGGAGAAGAGGUGGAACAAGUAAACAGUUUCCUGUCUAGGGCGGCCAUCACAACGAAGUACAUGUCUAAAGCAGAUCAUAAGGAUCCUUAGAGAACAAGUGGA